AGAGCGCGGCAUGACGGCAGAACCUGGCAACGUUCUACUAUACGUUCCUGGGUCUUGAUCACAGAGGUACCACCCUCCUUGCUUCCGUUCUGGCUGGUGGUUGAGGUCAGACCUCUCCUCUGCGCUUCGCCACAGGCUUAAUCCCAUCAAACCACGCGGGCACGGGCACCACGGCCCACGGGCCAACUUUGAUGUGCGCCGAGCUAAACGAAGCAUGACCCUAAUCUCAGAUGUUCACUCCGGACCUUUGACCUCCAUACUUGCACCUGUCCUUACUCCUAACUUCAGCCGGACAAAGGAAGUAACCUGCGAUUUCGGAACGCCGUUUUGUACUAUUGAUGGCCGUGGAACUCGUGGACUACGGAGCUAAACGCUGCCAAAUGCUUGCUGCCAGCUUAUCGAGGGAGAGGAGCGCAGACGUCAGCCCAGCAGUUCACAACAAAGCUCCCCCGCUGUAUCCUGUGCCGUUGUUACAGUAAAUGGCAGAAGCGGACGGCUCACCUGUGACGUGGAAGGUGCACUUCCCGGCGCCGGCCUCGUUGAUGACUUUGCAGGUGUACUCGCCCCAGCCGUCGCGGUUCAGGUUGCGGAUGGUGUACUCC